GGACUUCAUGGUCAGCUGUUCAUGAAUAAUUUGGUGAAGGUCAUUGCAUUGAAAGGGAGUUGAUGAAAGCCAAUCUUGUCAACUGAGAGGUUGACAAUAGCGGUUAGUUGCCUAAUUUGUCUUCUCUUUUGGACUGAGUCCCAUAUGUUGAUUCAAAUCUUAUUUUUCCUUUCAAAUAUUAACCAUGUAUAAUUUCCUUUUAUCUUAUUGUAAUUUUUUGCUUUCUUUCCAUAUCUUACGUAUUUUGAGGAUGAGAAGUACCAAAACGAGAAGAUAUCAUUUUACCAUUGGCUUGGCGAUGACGAGGCAACUUGAGGGAGCUUCCUUAGAAGAACGUGAUGUCAGAAAACAAUAAUCUCAUACUUUGGUUUCACGAAAAGGAAGCAUAGGAGAGCGUCCUUAACCAUUUGAUCUUCAUAUAUGCAAUUUCAUACCCCACCUUUUCAAAUUAUUUGGCCACAUUGAACAGAUACG